rnacentral:rRNA from 1 species
GACCGAGCAACGCCGCGUGAGUGAAGAAGGUUUUCGGAUCGUAAAGCUCUGUUGUUAAGGAAGAACGAGUGUGAGAAUGGAAAGUUCAUACUGUGACGGUACUUAACCAGAAAGGGACGGCUAACUACGUGCCAGCAGCCGCGGUAAUACGUAGGUCCCGAGCGUUGUCCGGAUUUAUUGGGCGUAAAGCGAGCGCAGGCGGUUAGAUAAGUCUGAAGUUAAAGGCAGUGGCUCAACCAUUGUAGGCUUUGGAAACUGUUUAACUUGAGUGCAGAAGGGGAGAGUGGAAUUCCAUGUGUAGCGGUGAAAUGCGUAGAUAUAUGGAGGAACACCGGUGGCGAAAGCGGCUCUCUGGUCUGUAACUGACGCUGAGGCUCGAAAGCGUGGGGAUCGACAGAUUAGAUACCCUGGUAGUCCACGCCGUAAACGAUGAGUGCUAGGUGUUAGGUCCUUUCCGGGACUUAGUGCCGCAGCUAACGCAUUAAGCACUCCGCCUGGGGAGUACGAACGCAAGGUGAA